GAUUAGAUUCAUCAAGAGUAGAAGGAGAAUCAUGGGAAGGGCAAGAAAUAGAAGAAAGAAGGAACAGAAGAAUUACUCCAAGGAAAUGCAAAGGGAAAAACAUCCUCAUGGAAAAUAACAUCUCUGGAUAUAAGGGUAAGUUUAGUUUUUAGAUUAUACAACUUGUAACCUUUUUUACCUAGAGGAUACCCUAAGAACACACAAG
rnacentral:lncRNA from 1 species